GGCUUUGCACUGCGGGUCGGCUUGGCACGUGCCAGCAAAACCAGACUCAAAGAUUGCCCUUGACUUGAGUCACAACUGAUCGGAGCACACGCCUAGUACUCUGUUAUUUUGCAAAAUCUUCCAUUAGUUCAUUCGCUUUUCUCGCGUGUGUUAACAGCCAAGCUCGACCGGAAAACCAUUAUGUUGAUAAGUUUUGUGGCUAAUAGUCUUGCUAAUUUCAAGGUCCAGCGGAUUAGCAAAGAAGUUCUUAACACACAAUCAUCUUCUAACAUGAAAAGGAAGCACGUUGUGGCAGGAGAAGCGACUGAAGGUCCUGGCUGGUACCUUGAGGCUACCGGACUCUGCCAUGUGUCACCAGGACGAAGACAGGUCGAGGCGAAACUCCGACAGUGCUUCCUCAUGAAGACACCUGCCUCACAUUGGCCGACCCGAGCACAUCCCAGCUUGCUGCUGAAGCUUCAUUCCGAGAGCUGUGCAAAAAUCUCCACGGAAAAAAAAUCACAGGAAUCCACAAGAAGGUCUGAAAGCACCUUGUGGGAAACGACGUGAGUGCUGUUUUGCCGGAGCCACAGCAGGUCUCUCUAAAACCCGAGGUGGGCGUGGCUAAGCACCUCCGGCUUGAUUCCACCCACUCCAAAAUGCAGCUGAGUGGAGGGAAAAAUAAAUCCAAAAAGUGGAAGGCAAGAGGAGCAAUGAGGCGGCCAAAGCAAAGAGGAAGCAGGAGUGGACCCUAAA